UACGUAGGGGGCAAGCGUUGUCCGGAUUUAUUGGGCGUAAAGAGCGUGUAGGCGGCCAAGCAGGUCCGCUGUGAAAACUCGAGGCUCAACCUCGAGACGUCGGUGGAAACCGUUUGGCUAGAGUCCGGAAGAGGAGAGUGGAAUUCCCGGUGUAGCGGUGAAAUGCGCAGAUAUCGGGAAGAACACACGUGGCGAAGGCGGCUCUCUGGGACGGUACUGACGCUGAGACGCGAAAGCAUGGGGAGCGAACAGG
rnacentral:rRNA from 1 species